rnacentral:miRNA from 1 species
UUGAGGAUUCGCAGUUUCUGAGGCAA